GCCCAGGGAGGGCUCCCACCCACCUGAGAGUGCUUGGACACCCAGUGGCGGAGCACGUUCAAGACACGAUUGGUGGCUGCUCUGCGGAUCACAAACUCCUUGUCUCCAUUCCUCUGGUCUGGGGGAAACCCUGGCAGCAUGCGUGGCAGAGGGGAGAGAGGACAGGUGAGGACAAGAAACAGAGCUUGACACUAGUCUGGAUUUGCCUCUCGGAUCUGGCUGAGCUGGGGAGCGGGGCUAAGAGGUGAGAGCACCCUCCACACCCCAGGAUCCUGGCAGGUGGAGAUGGAAGCAGCUGAGACUGAGCAGUAGCACCAGGCAGGGAGAGUGCCCCCACCUUGAGUCUACCUGCUCUUGAGGCCACAUGUUGGGGCAGGGCCUCAGCCCCAGGAGCCUGGCAGGUGGAAGGAGACUUUUCAGUUUUGGGUUGCUGGUGGCUGACCUGAGACGCUGACCGCUACAUCCAUCCACAGAGCUGCUGCGGGAAGGCCUGGAUGCAUCAUGUUAGGGGCUGGUGGGAGUACUCGGGACACGUGGGGCGUAUACCUUUGUCUUGCAAACCCAAAAUCAGGAUGCUCUUGACUCAGUCUGAGAGCAGGGAACUGUGCCAGAAACUCAGCACGUUUUGGGAGACAUAUGGAAGGAAUACCCCCCACUUCCCACCUAUCACCCCUGCACCUUUCUCCAGCUAGGCUAUCCGCUCCCCAUUCUCCCCAUAAGAGUGGCUGGCAGUGGGGAGCCUGCCACUCCCCUGGGUUUGGCCCUAUCA
rnacentral:lncRNA from 1 species